UCGUGGAGUCAGACCAGAUCAGCAACUGGUCAAGAUUGUACUUGAUGAGCUACUGAAACUGAUGGGUGGAGGAGAAAGUAUAUGAGCUACACUUAUGACCCGAUCGAUCAUCAUCGCUCACUCGCUCGCUCCCUCCCUCCUCCUACGGAAUGGGAUCGGUACUGUCUCUUUGAUGCUUUGUGAUGCUAUAGAUGGAAUUGUCUAUGUUUGAUGUAUACGCGCGACUCUUGAAGGUUUUGGAUGGUGCCUUUAUCAAUCACUGAUGGCUCAUCAUCGCUUCCCCUCCCCCUCCCCCUCCUACGGAUUGAACCAUCCCACUUCCUUUUGCUACCCUAGAUGCCGACGAGCCAGCUCUCUGGUGCUCAUC